CCAGACUCCUACGGGAGGCAGCAGUGAGGAAUAUUGGUCAAUGGGCUUACGCCUGAACCAGCCAAGUCGCGUGAGGGAAGACUGCCCUAUGGGUUGUAAACCUCUUUUGUCAGGGAGCAACGCCGGCUACGUGUAGCCGGACUGAGAGUACCUGAAGAAAAAGCAUCGGCUAACUCCGUGCCAGCAGCCGCGGUAAUACGUAGGAGGCAAGCGUUAUCCGGAAUGACUGGGCGUAAAGGGUGCGUAGGUGGUUUGACAAGUUGGUAGCGUAACUCCGGGGCUCAACCUCGGCACUACUGCCAAAACUGUUGGACUUGAGUGCAGGAGGUGCAAAUGGAAUUCCUAGUGUAGCGGUGGAAUGCGUAGAUAUUAGGAGGAACACCAGUGGCGAAGGCGAUUUGCUGGACUGUAACUGACACUGAGGCACGAAAGCGUGGGGAGCAAACAGGAUUAGAUACCCCCGUA
rnacentral:rRNA from 1 species